AGUUGGCGAACCUGAAAUGUAGUUCAUAAAUGGUAGGAGAGGAACGCAUGCGUACUCGUUUCGCGACGCAACAGUCGUAAACAACAUUUUUUCCAUAGAGAUUUUUAACGAAUUUACGCACGAUAAUUAGAGCGUCCAGAAGGACGCAUCACGAUUUUUCCGCGUUUUCAUACGAUUUCGCGGAAAAAAUGGGGUCAAGCUUACACGUUCAGUGUACGUGAUAAACUUAUGGGUUUCUGGCAUGCGGUGACGUCAUCCGGAUCGUUCUGGAAGAACCCUGCAGGACAAUAAUGGCGGAUUUGUAUGCUAAAUACAACUGCACCUAUUGUCAAGAGGACAUCUCGGGUUUACGUGUAAGAUGUGUAGAAUGCCCAGAUUUCGACCUCUGUUUGCAGUGUUUUUCCGCUGGAGCUGAAAUUGGACCACAUAAAAAUGACCACUCUUAUCAGUUUAUGGAUUCUGGUACCAUUAGCAUAUUUAAUGGUAGGGGAAACUGGACUGCUAGAGAACAACUUAGACUUUUGGAUGCCAUUGAACAAUUUGGUUUUGGAAAUUGGGAAGAUAUUAGUAAACAUAUUGAAACACGUACGCCAGAAGAAGCAAAAGAAGAAUAUAUUGCUAGGUAUCUUGAUGGAAAUAUUGGAAAACAUACAUGGCCUCCUACAGAAAGCUACAAACCAAAUAUUACAGAUCAAACUAAGUCAGAUCAUGGACCUCUAUCACCUGAUCUCACAUCUCGAUUACCACCUUUGGAUAUCACUCCAGAAGAAGCUGCACAACUGGGAUAUAUGCCACAACGAGAUGAUUUUGAAAGGGAUUACAAUCAUGAAGCAGAAUCACUUGUUUCUUCUUUAUUUUUAAAUCCAGCAGAAGAUGAUGAUUUGGAUAUAGCACUUAAACUUGCACAAGUUGACAUGUAUACUAAUAAUUUAAGGGAGAGAGCACGACGAAAAAGAGUUGUACGCGAUUAUCAGCUUGUUUCUGCAUUUUUUGCUUCAUCUAGAAAAGAUAAAACAAUAAAGAAAAAACAAUCGAAAGAGGAAAAGGAGUUUAGAGAUAGAACACGAGUAUUUGCACAGUUUUACACGGCACAGGAAUAUGAACAAUUUUUAACAAAUCUUGAAAGGGAAAGAGAAUUACGGUUACGUCUUUCAGAAUUAUUUCGUUAUCGAGAACAUGGUAUUACAAGACAUGAAGAAUGCGCUCAUUUCGAACAAGUGAUGGCACAAACUCAGGGACAAAAUGAUACUGUAGAUCAUUGGAAUGAAAAAAAAUCUGCAUUUGUGAACAGAUUGUAUCAGUUUGCAUUUCACUUAGGGCAGCAGUGGGCCGUCCACACCAAUACACCGCCACACCUCAAAAAAAAGAGAAGAAGAAAAAAGUUACUCUUCCACCGACCGAAAGUACAUUGCAAAAGACUUACCCAGCAGCAGCUUCUCAAUCAAUCAAACCAAUCCCAAUCGGAUGACGACUCUAGCCAAUCAGUGGGCGGAGCCGGAUAACAAUCCAAAUUCUUCCAGCCAGCAUUCUACCAGCUCCAGUUCUGCCGCAGAAAAGAAUUAUACUGCGACAACUUCUGGAAAAUCUUGCACAACAGCGGGAGAUUCAGAGGAACGAGAUAUAGAAAUGGAAGCAGCAGCUCAUUUAUUGACAAAACAAGAAAAAUCCUUAUGUCUUCAACUUGAUCUGAAGCCAACACAGUAUUUAACACAAAAGACAUUGUUGUUGCAAGAAUAUCUAAAUGGUAAUAGAAGAUCAGGCGUUGUACCUCAAUCGGAACCAGAGAGUAAGAUAUUACAUUAUCUGGUAGCAAAUGGCUGGAUCGCGGCCAAUUGAUUAAACAUGUAAAAAAUUAACGACCAUUUCCAUUCUAAGUCACCUUUUAUUUUGCAAACUAAGUCUUAGAUAUAAUUAAAGUUUGAGUCUGAUUUAAUUAACAUAUAUAGGGCAGGUAGAGAGAGAAUGCGUGUGUACAUAAUUUAAUAUGCAAAGACGAUUCUUUACUUUUUUGUUUAAAUAAUAAAUAUUUAAAUGAAUGUAUUGGCGGAUAAAUUGUUAAGAACGAUAAAAAGUGUUUGAUUGACUUCUUUAUUUCGUUAUAAACUGACAAAGCACUAAUUUAGAUUAUCCGAAAAAUAAUUAUUUGAAAAAAUUUUUAUUAAGUUUUAUUGUUUUUAUUAAAUUAUUACGUCGUUUAUAACAAUCUGACCGUCAAUUAUCAAUAUUGUUGAUUACUUUUUAAAAAUUCAAAUAUUAAAUUAUUAUCACCGUAUCGUGCAAAAUACUUCCGUGCGCUUCUGUACUUUAUUUUAAUGUUGUUAUCUUAAACUUCUGUUUGACUUUUAAUGUUACAUUAGGAAUUAUUUAACACUUCUUAUCGAGAAAAUAUAUCUCUUACACUGCCUUUAUAGAGCCAUGAACAUAUUGCUCAAUUAAUUCUUCCACUAUAAUAUUUUCUUGUGUAGACUAUUAAUUGCACAUGCUCUUUUCUAUCUGUUUCAAAUGUGAUUUGUUACCAUACUUGACAAUAAGGAAACGAAGGAAGAAGUCACGUUGUAGUCGAGAUUUAUAGAUCGUUGUUUAAUACAACAUUUAAAUGAUUGAAACGUAUCCAUCCGGGAACUUAUCAUCAAUUGAUAUUUUAUGUAAUAGUAUUUGAAAGUUUCUGGCAGAAUACGUGUUAAAAUAUUUAAAUAAAAGGCACUUUAAAAUAUUUAUAUAGCUGAGAUUUUCUCAUGAAAGUAUUGAAUAUUUCUAGUUUAAUAAUAAGUAUAAUGUCCUUAAACUGUACACAUGUAUACAUACACACGCGUAAUAACACAGAUAUUUCUUCGCAUUCUUAAAAAUUUGUCCAUUAAAAAAACUCCUAAACGUUUUUCGCAUGCAUGAUUUUACGCGCAAACAAAUACAUUUUAUUCCAUAGAUUCUUUAAAUAACUUAAAGAAUAUUCCUUAUUGAUAAAGGAUGGUACAAAGAGCAGGUUAUAAGAGGACAUUUGUUAUUACCAUGAAGAUAAUAUGAUAUUAGGUAAUUUAUCUGUUGCCUGUGUAAUAUUUGUAAAUAUGAACGAAAAAUAGUACCUUCUUAGUGAUACUACUUUUAAAGCACAAAAGUAAUGGCGGCAUAACCUAAUGAUGCGUUAAGCAUAUUGUGUGAUAUUGGUGGUGUUCUGAGCCAAACAUGUAUUGCAGAAAAAGACACUUUAACUUUUUAGGAAAAUCAAUUAUUUUCCAUUGCUUCUAAUAAUAGUUAUCUAUAAUUUUAAAAUUAUUAAAAAAUAAAAAAAAGAGGAGUAAUAUUUAUACUAAUUUGUGCAUUCUUAGUGCACUUCUUGAGAAAACUCUUGAUAUAUGCUAACAGCUUUUAUUUAGUAUAAGCUGAAAGCUUCGAAAAAUAGCAGAGUUAAUUUGAUUAUAAAUUUUCAAAUAUUAGAAAAAUUAAAAGAAAGAAAACAGAAAAAAAGAUUAA